AAGGCUGAAGGCUCUUCCGGUAGGGCUAGGGGCGGGAAGGGCGGACGGCCGCGGCCCGGAAGUGAGUUGGCGGUUGUUUCGUUCAUCUAAGUAAGGUCCUAAGGUGUUUGCGCACCGUCGCUGUGGUCUUCUGAGCCUGCUCAGCUUGAGGUGUUCAGGGACUUAAGUGAGAUAGCUCAUUUAAGAUGCAGAAAGUCGCAUAGAAUUCAGAGCAGGUGCAGUGAGGGAAAGAAACAAGCGAAGUGCUUUUAAGUCACGCCCACCCGGUGAGCCGGGGGAAGCUUCCUGCCCCGAGCAGAGCCCCCCCCCCCCUUUCCCUGAUCAUUAAGGUGCACCCGAAUAGGUUCGAGAUUUGAAAACUCAUUUUGAGGGGUUGGGGAUUUAGCUCAGUGGUAGAGCGCUUGCCUAGGAAGCGCAAGGCCCUGGGUUCGAUCCCCAACUCCGAAAAAAAGAACCAAAAAAAAAAAAAAAAAAAACUCAUUUUGAAAUAUCAGCUGUGGGCAUUUCUUUCCCAUAACGUGGCUUCCAAUGCAAGUAUCCGUAUGUUUACUGCUCUUGAGACGGCAAAAGAUCUAGAGUUGUUUAAUAACUCCAACUAUUGUCUCAUGUUACUUUCUGCUGUCGUGCUUCCAAGUCUAGUUAGUUAACAUUGGAAUGCACUCUCACUGGAUGAAGUGGGCAUGUCUGUAAUUUCAGCCUUUCGGAAGUGGUGCAAGCAGAUUAUCAGUUCAAGACCUGAUUUGGCCAUAUACGAGGCCACCAGGGCUUCACAAGACCAGCUAAAAACCACAGCAUGGUUCCUGCCACCUGUCAGAUAUCUCAAAACCACCUGUACACCAACUCUAGAGUAUCGUACACCCAAUUCUGGACUCCUGUACCCACAACUUUUUAACACCAAGACAAAAAUCAAAAACGUUUACCAAGUUCCACACUGGAUAUACAGCUCAGUGGUGUAUCACUUCCACCGUGUACCUAAAUAAGUGACUACAAACUUUCAUAAGGAUAUAUCGACAGUAUCUGGGGAACUGAUUGUGGGGCAUCUCUACAGAUGAGGUUCAGAAAAGUGCCUUAAAUGAAACCCCCAUCCCAUUUACUGCA